GCUUAGCCCUAAACACAGAUAAUUACAUAAACAAAAUUAUUUGCCAGAGUACUACCAGCAACAGCUUAAAACUCAAAGGACCUGGCGGUGCUUCAUAUCCCUC
rnacentral:rRNA from 1 species